AGUAAGCAAAAUAAGGGCAUUUGAUGGAUGCCUUGGCAUAGAAAGGCGAAGAAGGACGUGACAGGCUGCGAUAUGCCUCGGGGAGCUGCCAAUAAGCUUUGAUCCGAGGAUUUCCGAAUGGGGAAACCCACUUUCUUUUAGAAAGUAUCUCUGACUGAAUUCAUAGGUCAAAGAAGCGAAACCCAGCGAACUGAAAUAUCUAAGUAGCUGGAGGAAAGGACAUCAACAGAGACUCCGUUAGUAGUGACGAGCGAACGCGGACCAGGCCAGUCUUGGUAGUUUAAAAAUUAGAAUAACCUGGAAAAGUUAACCAUAGAGGGUGAUAGUCCCGUAUAAGUAAAAAAAGCUACCAAGCUCGAGUAGGGCGGGACACGUGAAAUCCUGUCUGAAUAUGGGUGGACCAGUUCAUCCAAGCCUAAGUACUCUUCUAUGACCGAUAGUGAACUAGUACCGUGAGGGAAAGGUGAAAAGAACCCCGAUAAGGGGAGUGAAAUAGACACUGAAAUCGAAUGCCUACAAGCAGUUAGAGCUCCAUUAGGGGGUGAUAGCGUACCUUUUGUAUAAUGGGUCGGCGAGUUAAUUUUGUUGUGCAAGCUUAAGUCGUAAGAUGUAGGCGUAGCGAAAGCGAGUCCUAACAGGGCGAAUUAGUACAGCGAAUUAGACCCGAAACUAGAUGAGCUAGUCAUGGCCAGGUUGAAGGUGAGGUAACACUCACUGGAGGACCGAACUCAUUAAUGUUGCAAAAUUACGAGAUGAGCUGUGAUUAGGGGUGAAAGACUAAACAAAUCUAGAUAUAGCUGGUUCUCCGCGAAAUCUAUUUAGGUAGGGCGUCAUAUGAUUACCGUUGGGGGUAGAGCACUGUCAAGGCUAGGGGGUUCAAAAGACUUACCAAACCUUAACAAACUCCAAAUACCAACGAGUUCAGUGUGGCAGGCAGACGGCGGGUGCUAAGGUCCGUCGUCGAGAGGGAAACAGCCCAGACCAUCGUCUAAGGUCCCUAAAUUAUCACUAAGUGGGAAAGGAAGUGAAGAGACCAAAACAACCAGGAGGUUGGCUUAGAAGCAGCCAUCCUUUAAAGAAAGCGUAAUAGCUCACUGGUCUAAAUAAGUCUUUUUGCGCCGAAAAUGUAACGGGGCUAAAGUGAUAUACCGAAGACAUGGAUUCACUGCAUUGUGCAGCUGAAUGGUAGCGGAGCGUUGUGUAAGUCUGUGAAGGUGAAUCGUCAGGUUUGCUGGAGAUAUCACAAGUGAGAAUGCCGACAUGAGUAACGAUAAAAAAUGUGAGAAACAUUUUCGCCGAAAAUCUAAGGUUUCCUGCUUAAAGUUAAUCUGAGCAGGGUUAGUCAGUACCUAAGGCGAGGCCGAAAGGCGUAGUCGAUGGAAAUCAGGUUAAUAUUCCUGAACCAAGUGGAGAGUGACGGAGCGUUCUUUUCUGUGUUUCCUUAUUGGAUUGGAGAUGCAGCGAAGUUGCUUCCAGGAAAUAGCCCCACGUUAAGACUGUACCAAAACCGACACAGGUAGAUGGGUUGAAAAUACUAAGGCGCUUGAGAGAACUGCACUGAAGGAACUAGGCAAAAUGCAUCCGUAACUUCGGGAAAAGGAUGGCCUGCUAUAGCGCAAGCUGCAGCAGGUGGCACAGAAAUGGGGGUAGCGACUGUUUACCAAAAACACAGGGCUCUGCUAAAUCAUUAAGAUG
rnacentral:rRNA from 1 species